rnacentral:tRNA from 1 species
AUUUAAAUAGUUUAAUAAAAAUAUUGAUUUGUGGAAUCAAGGAUGUUAGUUUUAACUUUAAAUA